rnacentral:rRNA from 1 species
CACCAAGGCAUCGACGGGUAGCUGGUCUGAGAGGACGAUCAGCCACACUGGGACUGAGACACGGCCCAGACUCCUACGGGAGGCAGCAGUGGGGAAUCUUGCGCAAUGCGCGAAAGCGUGACGCAGCAACGCCGCGUGGGGGAAGAAGGCUUUCGGGUUGUAAACCCCUUUCAGUUGGGACGAAGCUUCGUCGAUUAAUAGUCGGCCGGAGUGACGGUACCUUCACAAGAAGCACCGGCUAACUACGUGCCAGCAGCCGCGGUAAUACGUAGGGGGCUAGCGUUGCUCGGAAUCACUGGGCGUAAAGCGCACGUAGGCGGUCGUACAAGUCGAGUGUGAAAUCCCCCGGCUCAACUGGGGAACGUCGCUCGAUACUGUUCGACUUGAAGGCGGGAGAGGGAAGCGGAAUUCCCGGUGUAGUGGUGAAAUGCGUAGAUAUCGGGAGGAACACCAGUGGCGAAGGCGGCUUUCUGGCCCGUUCUUGACGCUGAGGCGCGAAAGCUAGGGUAGCAAACGGGAUUAGAUACCCCGGUAGUCCUAGCCGUAAACGAUGGACACUAGGUGUUGGUGGUAUCAACCCCGCCAGUGCCGAAGCUAACGCAUUAAGUGUCCCGCCUG